AGUGAACGCUGGCGGCAGGCCUAAUACAUGCAAGUCGAGCGAAGCCUUCGGGCUUAGCGGCGGACGGGUGAGUAACGCGUGGGAACGUGCCCUUUGGUACGGAAUAGCCCCGGGAAACUGGGAGUAAUACCGUAUGUGGUCGAGAGACGAAAGAUUUAUCGCCAAAGGAUCGGCCCGCGUUGGAUUAGGUAGUUGGUGGGGUAAUGGCCUACCAAGCCGACGAUCCAUAGCUGGUUUGAGAGGAUGAUCAGCCACACUGGGACUGAGACACGGCCCAGACUCCUACGGGAUGCAGCAGUGGGGAAUCUUAGACAAUGGGGGAAACCCUGAUCUAGCCAUGCCGCGUGAUCGAUGAAGGCCUUAGGGUUGUAAAGAUCUUUCAGUGGGGAAGAUAAUGACUGUACCCACAGAAGAAGCCCCGGCUAACUCCGUGCCAGCAGCCGCCGUAAGAC
rnacentral:rRNA from 1 species